GGAAAAGAAACUAACAAGGAUUCCCCUAGUAACGGCGAGUGAAGCGGGAAGAGCUCAAAUUUGAAAUCUGGUAGCCUUCGGUUGCCCGAGUUGUAAUCUAGAGAAGUGUUUUCCGUGCCGGCCCAUGUACAAGUCCCUUGGAACAGGGCGUCAUAGAGGGUGAGAAUCCCGUCCUUGACAUGGACCCCCGGUGCUUUGUGAUACACUUUCAACGAGUCGAGUUGUUUGGGAAUGCAGCUCAAAAUGGGUGGUGAAUUCCAUCUAAAGCUAAAUAUUGGCGAGAGACCGAUAGCGAACAAGUACCGUGAGGGAAAGAUGAAAAGCACUUUGGAAAGAGAGUUAAACAGUACGUGAAAUUGUUGAAAGGGAAACGAUUGAAGUCAGUCAUGCUCUUGGGACUUACCUCCCUUGAGUGGGGUCAACAUCAGUUUUGAUCGAUGGAUAAAGGCACGGGGAAGGUAGCACUCUCGGGUGAACUUAUAGCCUCGCGUCAUAUACAUUGAUUGGGACUGAGGAACGCAGCAUGCCUUUUGGCCGGGAUUCGUCCACGUACAUGCUUAGGAUGUUGACAUAAUGGCUUUAAACGACCCGUCUU
rnacentral:rRNA from 1 species